UGGGCAAUGCGCGGAAGGGCUGCUCUCAUCAGCCACACUUUCAGUAAGAAUCAUUUGUUGCUGUAUAGAGAAGCCGCACCAUCUGAGGCUAAAGUGACUUGCCCAAGGACACAGAGCUCCUAGGAAUUGGGUUGGGAGCCACACUCAUCAUAUCUGUCCCACCCUCAAGCCCACCAUCCUAACCACUGCACUGCACUAUCUCCCAGCCAGGAUCCUCUUCCCAUAAUUUGCACAGCCAUUGCAGGAAAAGAUAUAGUUCACUGAACCCAGGCCGCCUUGAGAAACGGACACCUUGGGUUUUGGUGCCCUCAUCUCUGGCUCCUCUCUCAUUCCAAUAGCAGAGGACCAGUGGCAAGGAAGAAUCAGCAGCCAGGACCUCUAUGAAGCUAAGACGGUUUUCCUGAAAACCUUUUUAAAGAUGAAGAUAAAAACCAUAAGAAUAACGAAUAUUACCUAUGGGAGACCUGGUCUGGGAAGGCUCCCUGGAAGAGAAGACACAUGAACUGGAUUGCAGGUUCUGAAGGCUGGGAAGUCCAAGAUCAAAGGACUGGCAGAUCCAGUGCCU